rnacentral:rRNA from 1 species
UACGGAGGGUGCGAGCGUUGUCCGGAAUCACUGGGCGUAAAGGGCGCGUAGGUGGCGCGACAAGUCAACGGUGAAAGCUCGGCGCUCAACGCCGAGUCGGCCGUCGAUACUGUUGGGCUUGAGCACUGGUAGAGGCUAAUGGAAUUCCGGGUGUAGCGGUGGAAUGCGUAGAGAUCGGCAGGAACACCCAGGGGGAAACCAGUGGACUGGGCAUGUGCUGACGCUCAGGUGCGAAAGC